GACGAACGCUGGCGGCGUGCUUAACACAUGCAAGUCGAACGGAAAGGCCCUGCUUGCAGGGUACUCGAGUGGCGAACGGGUGAGUAACACGUGGGUGAUCUGCCCUGCACUUCGGGAUAAGCUUGGGAAACUGGGUCUAAUACCGGAUAGGAACCAUCUUUAGUGUGGUGGUUGGAAAGUUUUUUCGGUGUAGGAUGAGCUCGCGGCCUACCAGCUUGUUGGUGGGGUAAUGGCGUACCAAGGCGGCGACGGGUAGCCGGCCUGAGUGGGUGUACGGCCACAUUGGGACUGAGCGACGGGCCAGACUCCGACAGGAGGGAGAAGGGGGGAAUAUUUCACAAUGGGCGCAAGCCUGAUGCAGGGACGCCGCGUGGGGGAUGAAGGCCUUCGGGUUGUAAACUCCUGUCGCUAGGGACGAAGCUUUGUUGUGACGGUACCUAGAUAAGAAGCACCGGCUAACUACGUG
rnacentral:rRNA from 1 species